rnacentral:lncRNA from 1 species
UAACCUCUUUGAAAUUCUGUUAGGUUUUAGUAUUUAUAUGCUCUCUUAAUCACAUUGCUAAUCCACAUUUAAUUGAAAUUAGGCAAAAUAAGGUAUUUGGCAAAAUUUCAAAAAUGCAUGGUGCAUGGACUAAUCCACGUGAACAAUGCCAUAUACAUGGUCAAAGUCACUCAAAAUCCUUUUUUAAACACAUUGGCAAUGGUAGAAAGUUC